AGGCGAAGCUGAUCCAUCAUACCGCGUGUGUGAAGAAGGCCUGAGGGUUGUAAAGCACUUUCAAUAGGAAGGAAUACCUAUCGGUUAAUACCCGGUAGACUGACAUUACCUAUACAAGAAGCACCGGCUAACUCCGUGCCAGCAGCCGCGGUAAUACGGAGGGUGCAAGCGUUAAUCGGAAUUACUGGGCGUAAAGCGUGCGUAGGCGGUUAUUUAAGUCAGAUGUGAAAGCCCUGGGCUUAACCUGGGAACUGCAUUUGAUACUGGAUGACUAGAGUUGAGUAGAGGAGAGUGGAAUUUCAGGUGUAGCGGUGAAAUGCGUAGAGAUCUGAAGGAACACCAGUGGCGAAGGCGGCUCUCUGGACUCAAACUGACGCUGAGGUACGAAAGCGUGGGUAGCAAACAGGAUUAGAUACCCUGGUAGUCCACGCCGUAAACGAUGUCAACUAACCGUUGGGUUCUUUAAGAACUUAGUGGUGGAGCUAACGUAUUAAGUUGACCGCCUGGGGAGUACGGACGCAAGGGUAAAACUCAAAUGAAUUGACGGGGGCCCGCACAAACGGUGGAGCAUGUGGUUUAAUC
rnacentral:rRNA from 1 species